CCAGAUUCCCCAAUAGGAAACAGGAUCAAGGCCCAUGGAUGCCAUAAGAAUCGACCACAAGAGACAAAUAGGUGGGAUGUUGUUUUAUCGGCGGCUAGGUCAACUGAAGCUAUCUCUGUGCCGGUGAGCAAUUUUCCGGCGACAGGAAGGUUGGAACAAGAUCUAGAUUUCAUCAUGCUUGUGAUAAAGGUUUGGAAGACUCGCCGAAAAGUCCUGGGUUGUCGUCGGAGAGAGAGAGAAACCCGUUUCUUCAUCUUUAAUUGAGAAAAGUCUCGGUUAGGCAGAGCCAUGGAUCCUCUCCGCUGUGUAAGGGAUGUGGUGGCUGCAUUGGAUAGGAUUUCAUUGGAACUUCGCCGAGGCGUCACUGGGAUUAGUAGAUCUGUCUGGUUUAAAGAUGAGGGAGAAACAGCUCAAGCGUAUGAGACAUCAAAAUCGACAAAAGUAUCCUCGGCCAAAGCCGGAGCAGAUCCAAGGGAGCCAUCUCCAGGGGUAGCGACACCUGAGGGUGAGACUUCAUUGGUGACAAGAUAAUAUGCUGAGAUGGGAGGUAGGUCAAUUAAAGGCCAGUCUCAGCAGCUCCACAGGGCACAUCAUCACCGUCUUUGAGAAUACAGUUAUAUACACGAGAAAGUUCUCCGGAGGAUUCGCCAUUGGAGACCGGGCUUUCUACGGUAACGUGAGAAAGGUAAACCAAAGUAAAACCCAGAUCUACAUCUAGAGCAGUAGUCAAUACUUCAAUCGAGACCCAGGCAAGGUGAAGCACCUCAGAAUGAGAGGAAGGACUAAAAGAAAAGGCCACCGGUGAGUAAAUGAUCGGCAUCGUAAGAAAGAGAACGGACCACCGUAGCAACGCCGACAUUGGUACGAGGACAUAGCAUUAUCUAUGUUUAUUUAGCUUUUCACAUAACCAAACGUGAGAAAGAGAUUCGAUUGGUAUGUGACCAAGUUGAGAAAAGUAAUCCAAAGGAGGAGAAUACACGCGGCGGAAACUCCUCCUAUUUCAUAGGUUUUCCAUUUUUCUCAAUUUCGAUAUGGGCACGAAUCUGCUUGUGUAGGAUUUGAGAGCGGUUGGCUACUUUGGUUUUCUAACUUUAAAAACGGAGUCUUCAGCGGAGUCGAAGGAGUGGAGAUGGAAACAGAGCCAUUGUGCGCGAGUCUCGCCACUUGCAUGAUGUAUUCUAGUCAGCCAUGUUUGUGAUCCACAUAGUUUGUUUGGGAUUUGUGCUCGUGGUGCUUGUACUCAAUAUGUUUAGAAUAUCAUAUAGGUUUAAACAUUGAUAGGUACAAUAAAGGUCUCUCGAAGAAUCAUAAAGAGCUCACCGAGCACUACUAGCCUCUCUAUCCUGUUGAUGGUGGGAUUGGAGUCUUUAGUUGUUGGGUUUGGUCAUUGCUGCUUGUUCUUACAUCAAUGAGAUGAUGAAAGUUUAUGUUCACAUCUUACCUAUUGAUAACAGGAUUUUCACCCAA